CUCAUCAUGUGGUACUGUUGAGUCUCCUUGCUCUGCCUGCGAUGUCUUCUGGAAGGAAUGUAGUAAGACUGCACGUCACUGUCCCCUUUGAAGUUAGGUUUGACCAUGUGACUCACUUUGACUGAUGAAAUGUGUGCAGAAGUGACCUAAGUCCUACCUGAGUGAAAGCUUUAAGAGCCACAAUAUGCUACAUUCUCCUUUACUGCUGCCUUCGAGAUUGUGUGAGCAGAUGUCAAGAUGGGUCUUGUCAGCAUGCUUCCCCCAGUGAUGCUGAC
rnacentral:lncRNA from 1 species